AUACGUAGGGGGCGAGCGUUAUCCGGAAUCAUUGGGCGUAAAGGGUGCGUAGGUGGCGGCCUAAGCGCAGGGUCUAAGGCUACAGCUUAACUGUAGUUCGCCUUGCGAACUGGGCCACUUGAGUGCAGGAGAGGAAAGCGGAAUUCCUAGUGUAGCGGUGAAAUGCGUAGAUAUUAGGAGGAACACCAGCGGCGAAGGCGGCUUUCUGGACUGUAACUGACACUGAGGCACGAAAGCGUGGGGAGCAAACAGGAUUAGAUACCCUGGUAGUCCACGCCGUAAACGAUGAGCACUAGGUGUCGGGGUCGCAAGACUUCGGUGCCGGAGUUAACGCAUUAAGUGCUCCGCCUGGGGAGUACGCACGCAAGUGUAAAACUCAAAUGAAUUGACGGGG
rnacentral:rRNA from 1 species